UACAGAGGGGGCCAGCGUUAUUCGGAAUUACUGGGCGUAAAGGGCGCGUAGGCGGCCAUCUAAGUCAGACGUGAAAUCCCCCGGCUUAACCUGGGAACUGCGUCUGAUACUGGACGGCUUGAGUAUGGGAGAGGGAUGUAGAAUUCCAGGUGUAGCGGUGAAAUGCGUAGAUAUCUGGAGGAAUACCGGUGGCGAAGGCGGCAUCCUGGACCAUUACUGACGCUGAGGCGCGAAAGCUAGGGGAGCAAACGGG
rnacentral:rRNA from 1 species